rnacentral:tRNA from 1 species
GUUAGUAUGGCAGAAGCAGGUAAAUGCAAAAGGUCUAAGCCCUUUAAAUAGAGGUUCAAAUCCUCUUACUAACU